rnacentral:rRNA from 1 species
CCUACGGGUGGCAGCAGUGGGGGAUAUUGGACAAUGGGCGCAACCCUGACCCAGCGACGCCGCGUGAGGGAAGAAGUAUUUCGGUUUGUAAAGCUCUGUUCUGAGGGACGAAAGAAAUGACGGUACCUCACCAAUAAGCCACGGCUAACUACGUGCCAGCAGCCGCGGUAAUACGUAGGUGGCAAGCGUUAUCCGGAUUUACUGGGUGUAAAGGGCGCGUAGGCGGGAAAGUAAGUCAGAAGUGAAAAGCCGGGGCCCAACCCCGGGCCUGCUUUGGAAACUGUUUUACUUGAGUGCAGGAGAGGCAAGCGGAAUUCCGUGUGUAGCGGUGAAAUGCGUAGAUAUUAGGAGGAACACCAGUGGCGAAGGCGGAUUACUGGACAGUAACUGACGUUGAGGCGCGAAAGCGUGGGGAGCAAACAGGAUUAGAUACCCCUGUAGUC